rnacentral:siRNA from 1 species
GGGAAGUCCUCGUGUUGCAUCC